ensembl:lncRNA
AUGGAUGCGCAGGACAAAGGGAGGAUUCGCAUCCCAGGCAGGAUGUGGCAUGAUGGUGGUGGGAUGUCAGCCCAGGAAGCAGGUAAGGGCAAGGAUGGGAGCAGGGGCCGUGUGUGUGUGAGAACCCAGCUGCUGCGUCUGCAGGGAGGGUCCUGUCUGAGCGGUGGUAGCCGUCCUGGCUCAGCUCAUCACUGCCAUCUGCUUUGCUUGCUCCAUGCGCAGGGCGGGUCUGGGCGGUCUGGAGCCUGGUGGGUGGCCUGCCUGCUGCACCCUGAGUGCUGCAGGGCCCCGCCCCUGGGGUGCCGAGAGCAAAUGAGCUCUGUGAGCUUAAACUUUUCCCCUGUUCUUGCCUCUUCCUUUUCCGAUGCUUCCUCUGCAGCUGAUCAGCCGGCAGGAGCUGCCAUGGGGCCCUGCUUAGCAGCCCCCCACCUCUGCUGGGCCUCGGGGCUGCUGGCCUUCCUCAGCCCCCUCCUCAGCAUCUGCAGCACCUUGGGCAAGGGCCCUGAAGCUCGUGGCUCCGGGGUUCUGGAUUCUGGACUCCACUUUCCUGUGAAGAGGACGCGAGGGGGCUCCGUGUCGUUCCAUGUGGUGCAGCAGCCAGGAUGGGCUCCUGGAGAGAAGCUGGAGGAGAUCUCGUGGGGCUUUGGCCCUGAGUCAGCGUACAGAGUCAUCCUGCUGGUCCACAGUGGGACAGCCUCUCCAACCUGGGUCAGCCUCGAGGACAAGUUCAAACCAAGGCUCCACAUGCCCAACAUGACGUCCCUUGUGAUUGAGAAUGUGACCUCACAGGACAGUGGGCAGUAUCGGGCUCAGAUCAGAUUCACUGGAGGACUUUUAUCUACCCAGGUUUUCCACCUCACUGUCUAUGAGCCAGUGCCUGCUCCUCAAAUCCUGGCUGAGUCACCGUCCAUCACAUCUGGCUGGUGCAACGUCACCCUGCAAUGCAGGGCCACAGGGGCCACAGAGCAGCUGAACGUGACCUGGGAGAGCACAGGCCCCCCCAGCGAGCUGAAGCAGGGAGGGGCACCAGGACCAGCCCCCAACUCCUGGACUCUGGCUGUGAGUCUACCUCGGAGUCAGCCCAAAGCCAGCCUCACCUGUGUGGUCAGCAACCAGGGGGACCAGAAGAGCGCCACCUUGGACCUGGGUGAUGUCUGUGUCCAAGAAACAGACUCGCAUGGACAGGCCAUUGCUUGCCUUGUGCAAGUAAUCCGGGGCACUCUUCUGGCUGUUCUGCUGAUCCUGGGAGCUGGAUUAUUCCUUUGGAGGACCCGUGGGAGGAAGAAGAAGGAGACUGGAAGAGGUGCCUCCCCAUAGGGUGCCUGCCUGACUGUACACGAGGCCAGUCCCCCAUUGCCUCUGCUGUGUCACCGGUGUGUGUCUUUUUGAGAGCACGAGACCCAGUGUGGGGAUACUGUGGAGGCAUUGACCGCGCUGGAGGAGCUGAGUUCUGGAUCCUGAGUUGGAAGAUGAUGGAAGCAAUGUGGGUGGUUGGGAACUGGCAAAGGAGUGGCCUGAAACUUCCUUUGCAGACCUUGCAUAGGGCUCCCUUGGGGGUGUUGGGCAGUGUGUGUGUGUGUGUGUGCGUGUGUGUGUGCGAUUGUGGUAGUGUCUACUGCACAUUGUGUACCUGGGCUGGAGCUCUUUUCCUUUGGCAUGUGUGCUAAUGUCACGCUGCCUCCGCCUCAGCUCGUGGCUUCCUGGGCAGUGGGAAGAGAAGUCUGUGCUGUCUCUGGCCCUUUCCAGAUGCGUGUCUCCCAGAGAACAACCCUGGGAAGCAGUCAGGAGUUUUCUUAGGAAAACAGCCUCAGCUCACCCUGAUCUCCAAUUCUGGCAGCUGGUGGUGAGAACAGGUGUGCAGUGUCACCGCACACCCUCUGGUGGGUGCUGCUGUGUCCUCUGGCGGGUAAUGCUAGGGGAAGGUGUGACCUGAUCAUCUUGGCCUCUCCACUUAGCUGCAGUGCCUGAGCCUGCUGGCCCCAAGCCCUAAUGCAGCCUUUUUGUUGCUCACUCUAACACUGCCCGGUUUGGCUCUGCGACUUCCAGUGACUUUGCUUGACCCAGAGGUCUGAACUGAGGAUUCUCCCCCUCGUGAUAUCCCUCCCCUCAGUGCCUGAGGACCUGAUGUAGCCCGUUUGCAUCCUGCUGUAUGGAUGCUCCUUUUCUGCAUGGGGGUCCUCACUUGCUUGGAUCCUCUUCCUCCUGCCUUUGGCCCUGGGGUUCGCAUCACAGUUAAGCUGACUGAUGAGCUAGGCUCCUGAGUCUUGAUUCUUCCAGUUCGGCUGAGCUUCCUCAGAUCUGACUCCAGAAAUCAAAUGUCUGAACAGGGUCCCUGCUAAGGGCUAUGAUCCAAUGCUUGUGACCUGCUGAUGGUGGAUGAGUGAGUGAGGGCAGAAUAGGGCUCUGUCUCCGACUUCUUGUUCUCAGACUAAGCAUAAAUCUGAUGAUGUGAAAGAUACCAUAUCCUCACUGACAGGUGACCAGUCAUAGCUGGGCAUCAACACCUAUCAGCCCAAUGUAAGCUGUGACCACCCAUUGACAGUUCCCACUACACCUAAAGCAGAAAAAAAUAAGGAAAAUAAAAAAUAAGGAAAAAAUUUUUAAAAAAGAGAA